CAAAGAGAGGCAGAUGAUGCAGCUUUCCCCCCUGUAGGAGCAGUCUGCUCCUAAAGAAUGGCUUUAAUCUUUUCUGCAAAAAAGAAUAUGCAAGAAUGUAGGGAACUACAUGAUGGAGUUAGGUUACUGCCUAACAUCACUGUCAAAGAAAAAGCAAGGGUGAAAAGAAGAGAUUUUUCUCUCACUUCCCUUUGGAAAAUUGCAUGAAGAAAGAAAGAGAGAGAAAUUUGGCCUCAGAUCAGCCAGACCUUCUUCCUUCUCCAGCUAUGUCAGUAAAAUGCAUGCACUCUUUCUUCCUACAGGACUUUAUGAAGUCUUUUUUGAUUUGCAGCC
ensembl:lncRNA